UCCCGUCUUGACUAUAUAUAUAAACCCACAGUAACCUGCAGCUCAAAAUAAGACUGAAAAAAAUACAUUCCACUCAAAGUAGAAAAAAAUGGCAGGAACAAGCCAGGCCUUUAUGUGCUUUGGGCUCUUGAUGCUGAUUGCGUUGUCAUCAGGUACAAAUUGUCACAGAUCUUUUGGUAACGAAGAACCAAAUAAUUUACAGUUCGAUUCAUUUUUACUGGCGCAGAAGAGAUCGCCAUGUCGGACGCGAAGACCUGCAUGCCGGCGGUUGGCCUUGGCUGCUUCAAGAGCGACCACUGCAGGAAGCCAUGCUUAAAUGAUGAUCCUGACAACAACAGCUGGAGAUGUUUACACAUUUUCUGCCUCUGCUGUAGGUCGUAAGGGCUGUGGGAGAGGAGGUCCGAGAUGCAUGCAUAUGAAAAAAAAAACAAAGCGUGCGUGGCAAUAAGACUGGUAGCUAGGACUAGGAGAUAGCUAUCUUGGUAUCAUGAUUGAGAAAUAAUAAGCUAUAUUAUAUGUGUUAUUAUCCCCCCAAAUACUGGAUCAACUAUUUUUUGACAGAAAAAUGUGCCAACAAGAAUACUGAACUUAAUCAUCAAGUUCCUGGCAUCAAGACAUGGGAAACAAAUUUGUAACAACAAAAUUGAAGUCCAAAUAAAGAAAAGACAAUUUUGGGCUAACACUCUACCAAGACCGGCCUAGCUGGCCUGCUAAACCAGCUAGGUCGGUUUUAC
rnacentral:lncRNA from 1 species